rnacentral:rRNA from 1 species
CAAUAGCGUAUAUUAAAGUUGUUGCGGUAAAAAAGCUCGUAGUUGGAUUUCUACCGAAGAUAGCCGGUCGGGUCUUCGACCUUGUAUAUGGUUUUGUCUUUGGUAUCCUCAUAGGGAACGUUUCUGCGCUUUAUUGCGUGGUGCGGUAUCUAUGACUUUUACUUUGAGGAAAUUAGAGUGUUCACGGCAGGCAAACGCCUUGAAUAUAUUAGCAUGGAAUAAUAACAUAGGAUCUUCGUCCUAUUUUGUUGGUUUCUAGGGCUAAGAUAAUGAUUAAUAGGGAUAAUUGGGGGCAUCUGUAUCAACGCGUCAGAGGUGGAAUUCUUGGAUUGCGUUGCGACAAACUACUGCGAAAGCAUUUGCCAAGGAUGUUUUCAUUGA